rnacentral:rRNA from 1 species
UACGAAGGGGGCUAGCGUUGCUUGGAAUCACUGGGCGUAAAGCGCACGUAGGCGGGUCUUUAAGUCAGGGGUGAAAUCCUGGAGCUCAACUCCAGAACUGCCUUUGAUACUGAGGAUCUCGAGUCCGGGAGAGGUGAGUGGAACUCCGAGUGUAGAGGUGAAAUUCGUAGAUAUUCGGAAGAACACCAGUGGCGAAGGCGGCUCACUGGCCCGGUACUGACGCUGAGACGCGAAAGCGUGGGGAGCGAACAGG